rnacentral:rRNA from 1 species
AUUGAACGCUGGCGGCAUGCCUUACACAUGCAAGCCGAACGGCAGCACGGGAGCAAUCCUGGUGGCGAGUGGCGAACGGGUGAGUAAUGUAUCGGAACGUACCUUUCAGUGGGGGAUAACGUAGCGAAAGUUACGCUAAUACCGCAUAUUCUGUGAGCAGGAAAGCAGGGGAUCGCAAGACCUUGCGCUGAUUGAGCGGCCGAUAUCAGAUUAGCUAGUUGGUGAGGUAAAGGCUCACCAAGGCGACGAUCCGUAGCGGGUCUGAGAGGAUGAUCCGCCACACUGGAACUGAGACACGGUCCAGACUCCUACGGGAGGCAGCAGUGGGGAAUUUUGGACAAUGGGCGCAAGCCUGAUCCAGCCAUGCCGCGUGAGUGAAGAAGGCCUCGGUUGUAAG